AGAGCCCGAGGCUGUCCUGGGGGGCGAGUCCCAGCCACUGCAGACAGCCCCGGCGAGCGCUGCAGCCCGGGUGGAGUUUGCAGGGCACAGGAAGGGGCUGGAGCAGCUGGGAGCGGUGGGUGCCGGGAGGAAGGAGGCAGGAGCCGGGAGAACAAAGAACCGAGAGCAUCAGACCCCGGGCAGCUCCUGAGAGACCAGACGCUGCUGCCUGGGAGCUGAGCAGCUGCUGCUUCCCCAGCGGGGUGUUUGCUGGGUGGAGUCCGGCAUUAACCCCUCCGUGCCCGGCUGGGGGGGCUUCUCCGGCUAGAAAUCGCCCAGGAUAGCAACCCUCCCGUUUUGCAACUGGGUGCAGUUUCUGCCACGCAACGUGACCAUCUGGGCAGCAAAUUGCUACAGAAUAACGUCCACAUUUUGCUUCAGAUCAUCCCAUCCUCCCAGGGGGAAGGAAAUGGCUUCAAUGGAGCUGGCUCAGGGGCCGGUGACCUUUGAGGAGGUGGCUGUGUAUUUCACCAGGGAAGAGGGGACUCUGCUGGACCCCACUCAGAGAGCCCUCUACAGGGAUGUCAUGCAGAAGAACUAUGAGACGGUGGUCUUGCUAGGAAGAACUGGGCUCUCAGAUGCAGGGAGCUCUACCGGAGCGAAGACAAAUGGACAGUCACAGUGAAAGGAAACCUAAGCAUUUUCUACAGCAGCAGGGCUCAAGGCCAUUGGCCAGUAUGGACUAUAUUGUCUUUGUUGCUUCCCUGUGCUAAUCUAAGGACUUUCCAAUGAUGUGUUUUGGUUGACUAAUAAACCCUGCUAUGUUUUAAAAGUCUGCCAGUGUCACAGCAAAAACUUGCUCUGUUCAUUGAAUGUCUCUGAACAGGAGUGUCAUUCAGCUGGACCUGCUGGGCAGAGCUCACAGGUUGAAAUAGGAGUGUUGAAGCCAGAGGCUCAGGGUAUGUCUACACUACGAAAUUAGUUCGAAUUUAUAGAAGCCGGUUUUAUAGAAAUCGGUUGUAUACAGCCGAUUGUGUGUGUCCCCACAUAAAAUG